UGCCAGCAGCCGCGGUAAUACGGGGGGUGCAAACGUUGUUCGGAAUCACUGGGCAUAAAGAGCACGUAGGUGGUCUUCUCAGUCAGGUGUGAAAGCCCCCGGCUCAACCGGGGAACUGCAUCUGAUACUGGAAGACUUGAGAUCGGUAGGGGUAAGCGGAACUCCAGGUGGAGCGGUGAAAUGCGUAGAGAUCUGGAGGAACACCGGUGGCGAAAGCGGCUUACUGGACCGUGUCUGACACUGAGGUUCGAAAGCCAGGGGAGCGAACAGGAUUAGAUA
rnacentral:rRNA from 1 species